rnacentral:rRNA from 1 species
AGAGUUUGAUCCUGGCUCAGAGCGAACGCUGGCGGCAGGCCUAACACAUGCAAGUCGAGCGCCGUAGCAAUACGGAGCGGCAGACGGGAGAGUAACACGUGGGAACGUGCCCUUCAGUUCGGAACAACCCAGGGAAACUUGGGCUAAUACCGGAUACGUCCGUAAGGAGAAAGAUUUAUCGCUGAAGGAUCGGGCCGCGUCUGAUUAGCUAGUUGGUGGGGUAACGGCCCACCAAGGCGACGAUCAGUAGCUGGUCUGAGAGGAUGAUCAGCCUCACUGGGACUGAGACACGGCCCAGACUCCUACGGGAGGCAGCAGUGGGGAAUAUUGGACAAUGGGCGCAAGCCUGAUCCAGCCAUGC